rnacentral:rRNA from 1 species
AAGCUCGUAGUUGAAUUUCGGGAUUGGCGCAUCGGUCGUGCCUCACGGGGUAUGAACUGGUGCAGUCAAUUUCUCACCUUCUGGAGAACCGCGAUGUCCUUAAUUGGAUGCCGCGGGGAACCAGGACCUUUACUUUGAAAAAAUUAGAGUGUUUAAAGCAGGCAUUUUUGCUUGAAUACAUUAGCAUGGAAUAAUAAAAUAGGACGGCAUGGUUCUAUUUUGUUGGUUUCUAGGACCACCGUAAUGAUUAAUAGGGAUAGUUGGG